UGAAGAUGCAGUGUACCCGCGGCAAGACGGAAAGACCCCGUGAACCUUUACUAUAGCUUGACACUGAACAUUGAGCCUUGAUGUGUAGGAUAGGUGGGAGGCUUUGAAGUGUGGACGCCAGUCUGCAUGGAGCCGACCUUGAAAUACCACCCUUUAAUGUUUGAUGUUCUAACGUGGACCCGUGAUCCGGGUUGCGGACAGUGUCUGGUGGGUAGUUUGACUGGGGCGGUCUCCUCCUAAAGAGUAACGGAGGAGCACGAAGGUUGGCUAAUCCUGGUCGGACAUCAGGAGGUUAGUGCAAUGGCAUAAGCCAGCUUGACUGCGAGCGUGACGGCGCGAGCAGGUGCGAAAGCAGGUCAUAGUGAUCCGGUGGUUCUGAAUGGAAGGGCCAUCGCUCAACGGAUAAAAGGUACUCCGGGGAUAACAGGCUGAUACCGCCCAAGAGUUCAUAUCGACGGCGGUGUUUGGCACCUCGAUGUCGGCUCAUCACAUCCUGGGGCUGAAGUAGGUCCCAAGGGUAUGGCUGUUCGCCAUUUAAAGUGGUACGCGAGCUGGGUUUAGAACGUCGUGAGACAGUUCGGUCCCUAUCUGCCGUGGGCGCUGGAGAACUGAGGGGGGCUGCUCCUAGUACGAGAGGACCGGAGUGGACGCAUCACUGGUGUUCGGGUUGUCAUGCCAAUGGCACUGCCCGGUAGCUAAAUGCGGAAGAGAUAAGUGCUGAAAGCAUCUAAGCACGAAACUUGCCCCGA
rnacentral:rRNA from 1 species